UCGAGACCGAAACUAUAUCGAGCGAUUCGGAGAACCCGUGAAAUAAGCGGCGGCGGCAGUCGCCGCGAAACAGCCGUCCCCGCCGUCGCCCCCCCCCUCGUCUGGAGGGGGCCGCGACGGGGCACGGCUGAAACCCCAAACCGGCGCAGAUUGGCGCCAAGGUAACUAUCGAAAAGCACGAGCCCGGCAUCGGGUCUUCGUGGGGCGGAGCGGUGUUAGCGCACCGCACGUAUUGACACGACUCUCGACAAUGGAUAUCUCGGCUCUCGCAUCGAUGAAGAGCGCAGCGAAAUGCGAUACGUGGUGCGAAUUGCAGAAUCCCGCGAACCAUCGAGUCUUUGAACGCAAGUUGCGCCCGAGGCCAAUCGGUCGAGGGCACGUCCGCCUGGGCGUCAACCGCCGCGUCGCUCCGUGCCAAGUCCCCACCGUUCCCACCGCAGUGGGGGUGCCGGGCGAGGCUCGGAUGUGCAGAGUGGCCCGUCGUGCCCACCGGUGCGGCGGGCUGAAGAGCGGGUUAUCUUCUCAUUGGCCACGAACAACGAGGGGUGGAUGAAAGCUGCCGCGGGCGAGGCCCGCGUUGUCUCGUGCCGGCCCGAGUGAAGAUUACACCCUCCGUGCGAUCCCAUCCCACGCGCCGCCCCCGUGCGGCGGCUUGGAAUGCACCCCAGGAUGGGCGAGACCACCCGCCGAGUUU
rnacentral:rRNA from 1 species